GAUCCUGGCUCAGGACGAACGCUGGCGGCGCGCCUAACACAUGCAAGUCGAACGGAAUCAAGAGGAGCUUGCUUUCCUUGAUUUAGUGGCGAACGGGUGAGUAACGCGUGAGUAACCUGCCCUGGAGUGGGGGACAACAGUUGGAAACGACUGCUAAUACCGCAUAAGCCCACGGUACCGCAUGGUACUGAGGGAAAAGGAUUUAUUCGCUCUAGGAUGGACUCGCGUCCAAUUAGCUAGUUGGUGAGG
rnacentral:rRNA from 1 species